GACGAACGCUGGCGGCGUGCUUAACACAUGCAAGUCGAACGGAAAGGCCCUGCUUUUGUGGGGUGCUCGAGUGGCGAACGGGUGAGUAACACGUGAGUAACCUGCCCUUGACUUUGGGGUAACUUCAGGAAACUGGGGCUAAUACCGGAUAGGAGCUCCUGCUGCAUGGUGGGGGUUGGAAAGUUUCGGCGGUUGGGGAUGGACUCGCGGCUUAUCAGCUUGUUGGUGGGGUAGUGGCUUACCAAGGCUUUGACGGGUAGCCGGCCUGAGAGGGUGACCGGCCACAUUGGGACUGAGAUACGGCCCAGACUCCUACGGGAGGCAGCAGUGGGGAAUAUUGCACAAUGGGCGGAAGCCUGAUGCAGCAACGCCGCGUGCGGGAUGACGGCCUUCGGGUUGUAAACCGCUUUCGCCUGUGACGAGGCGUGAGUGACGGUAAUGGGUAAAGAAGCACCGGCUAACUACGUG
rnacentral:rRNA from 1 species